GAAAUGCGAUAAGUAAUGUGAAUUGCAGAAUUCAGUGAAUCAUCGAAUCUUUGAACGCAAAUUGCGCCCGCCAGUAUUCUGGCGGGCAUGCCUGUUCGAGCGUCAUUUCCACCAUCAGGCCCCCGGGCCUGUGUUGGGGACCUGCGGCUGCCCGCAGGCCCCGAAAUUCAGUGGCGGUCGCGCCGUAGCAACCGAGCGUAGUAACUAAAACGUCUCGCUCUGGCUCGCUGGGCGCGCUCCGGCCGUAAAACACCCCCCCUUUUCGCAAAGGUUGACCUCGGAUCAGGUAGGAAUACCCGCUGAACUUAAGC
rnacentral:misc_RNA from 1 species